rnacentral:rRNA from 1 species
UACGAAGGGGGGCUAGCGUUGCUCGGAAUCAUUGGGCGUAAAGCGCACGUAGGCGGUUCGUUAUGUCGGAUGUGAAAGCCCUUGGCUUAACCGAGGAAGUGCAUCCGAAACUGGCGAGCUAGAGUACGAAAGAGGAUCGCGGAAUUCCCGGUGUAGAGGUGAAAUUCGUAGAUAUCGGGAGGAACACCGGUGGCGAAGGCGGCGAUCUGGGUCGAUACUGACGCUGAGGUGCGAAAGCGUGGGGGAGCAAACAGG